AGGGGUAUGGCUCAAUUGGUAGAGUGGCGGUCUCCAAAACCGUAGGUUCAGCGUUCGAGUCGCUGUACCCCUG
rnacentral:tRNA from 1 species